UACGUAGGGGGCGAGCGUUGUCCGGAAUCAUUGGGCGUAAAGCGCGUGUAGGCGGCCCGGUAAGUCCGCUGUGAAAGUCCAGGGCUCAACCCUGGGAUGCCGGUGGAUACUGUCGGGCUCGAGUCCGGAAGAGGCGAGUGGAAUCCUGGUGUAGCGGUGAAAUGCGCAGAUAUCAGGAGGAACACCAAUGGCGAAGGCAGCUCGCUGGGACGUGACUGACGCUGAGGCGCGAAAGCGUGGGGAGCAAACAGG
rnacentral:rRNA from 1 species